CACGUAGGGCGCAAGCGUUGUCCGGAAUUAUUGGGCGUAAAGAGCUCGUAGGCGGUCUGUUGCGUCCGCUGUGAAAACUCGGGGCUUAACCCCGAGCCUGCAGUGGAUACGGGCAGACUAGAGGUAGGUAGGGGAGAAUGGAAUUCCCGGUGUAGCGGUGAAAUGCGCAGAUAUCGGGAGGAACACAGGUGGCGAAGGCGGGUCUCUGGGCAACAACUGACGCUGAGGAGCGAAAGCGUGGGGAGCGAACAGG
rnacentral:rRNA from 1 species